GGCAUGGUAGUCAGGUCUUCCUUAACUGGUUGUACUUGACUUGCCAUGCCUUCUUCUUCUAGAUGCUGGCACGUCGCAAGGCGUGUCUGUGCUCUAGGACCUUUACUGUGAAUAAAUUAGAGUGUUCAAAGCAGGCAGUCGCUUGAAUACGUUAGCAUGGAAUAAUAGAAUAGGACUGUGGUUCUAUUUUAUUGGUUUAGGACCGAAGUA
rnacentral:rRNA from 1 species